UGGAGGAAGAGCUCAGUUUUCCGAUUAGAUCCUCGCGACGGCUGUGAGUCGGAGGCGGCGGCACCGAUGAUGCUGAAGCCGGCAUAGUUGAGGGCAAAUCAGGAAUUUCAUAUGCGGAUGCGACCAACCGAUUGUGCAAAAGAGGAAACGAAAAAGGAGAACUGGCGAACAAAUAGUGUGUGUAUGUGUGUGCGCCUUUUUUUUUUGUCACUACAGUGUGAUAUUUAGACUUUAGUCGUUUAUUUUCAAUUUUUUUAAUCCGUUUUAGUUAAUGUUAAGUUAGUUAAAUGUGAAAUGGGACUUUUGAAUAUUACAAAUAACACUUUGAUUGUAGUGAGGAGACAUGAUAAGCAAAGAAUUUUUUGCAAAUAAGUGAUAAUUCGAUAGGAGAUACUUAUUUGCAUAUGAUGUUAUAAUUAUUUUUUCUAUUAUAGAGUAUAGAAAAGGAA
rnacentral:lncRNA from 1 species